UUCGUGCAUGCGACGCGUACUCCGAGACUUGUUGCAGAAAGAAGACCCAUGGUUAUGCACAUGAUGACAGUUUAUAAAACAGUAACAUAUUAAGAAAAGCGAUAAACAAAUAACCAACAAAACAAGGAAAUAAGACAAACAAAGCUAAUAAACAAAGAAAAUAAAGAAAAUAAACACCUCAACUGAAUAUCCUAAAAGCCAACAAGAUCAAAUACCAGCUCGAACCUGCAGAGUCGCCAGAGAUGUCACACCCCUUUUUAACCAAACUUCACUAACCCUCUUAAAAUAAUAAAAAGAUUUAGUAAAGCUUAAAGAGUUUUUCAAUUUUGAAAGUGACAAAAGAUAAUGUUCAAAAGAAAAUAACUCAGAGUCGCCACCUGACAUUGGUUUCGGUGUGUCAGGUCACCGUUUUUUGUAAAAAUGAUUUUUCCUUUAAAACACUUUGGAUUCCAAACUAAGUCUGCACCAGAGAUUCGGGUAAGGGGGGUCAUUUGACUCGGGGAGAAGGUGUUAGGCACUCCCCAAGUCCCGUAACUAGUACGGUUGAGUGCGUGAUCAAGUCGGCUUUUAAAUUGUUCAAUUGAGGUAAUAACACAGAAAAGGAAAAUAAACACACAAGAGGUUCGAGGUCGUCCCCACCUAAAUAAAGAAAAAGAAAAAUGAAAAUAAAGUUAAAAUACUACAAGUUUCUACUUUUGGCCUCCAUUUAUAGAAUACUUUGGGGUAUUCCCCGGAUAAAGAUAUAUACAAAUCCUUCGGGGCAUUCCCCGGAUAAAUUUAACUAAGGGAACGACCUCUCGCCUCAAAACUAAUGAAACGUCCUAAUAUUGCCUACCCCAGUGGUCGGCCUAAACAUACUCCUAGCGUCUUAAAAACCCUAUCAACAAACAAGAUCUAAACCAUAUGUCAAUCAAAAUGUCACAUACCAAACAAAAAAUACAACUGAAAUUAUCAUUGAACUCAAUAUUAUUUUAGCCUAAUAUACUUUCAAUUUUUACCUACAAACCCACGAUCCAUAUAGUUUAGUAGUCCAAAAUAGUUUAUCAAACCUUACUUUCUUUUUUAAUUCUUAAUUUCCUAAUUUUUACUAUCUACUCAUGUGACUUGAACUAUAACAGAAGAGUGUCAAGAGUUGAGUACAAACUGCAAAUAACUCAUUUAACAUUCAUUUCGAUUUAUCUCAAGCAAACAAAAGUUAAAAGAAAUCAUCAACUCAUUUAAAUAAAUCAUGAAGUCACUCAAAAUAUAUUAAAAAAUAAAAGAAAGAAAGUAAGAAAUAAACCUUGAAGAGUUUUCGCCAAACAGAAAUCCGGAUCUAAUUUUAGACCGUGAUUGGAACCUCAACGAACAACCUCGAUCUCGACUGCAUCUCGACCACGGCGAAUGAAAAUAAAUUUGCUGAAUUCACAAGGAAGAAAACCGAGACGCAACAGAAUCAAGACUUGGUGCUAACUUUGGUUGCUCAUUAUAUUCUUAGACCAUGUGCAAAUGGGGUUGUGUACAUGUAACUUGCAUCUGAAUAUUUUAUUAAGGUUUCACCUUUGUGAGUUUGUUAGGCGAAGAUGAACAGCGAUAGGUGCGGCGCUGAUGGAAUUUGGCAGGGGCGGUUGUUCUGUUCUUGGAAAAUUUUCAGCGGCUAGAGGCGUUGGUGAAGAGAGUGCUGCUGGGCGGGGUGGUGCUCGGAUGGCGGCGGCUGCUCUCUUUUUUGUUUUUUC
rnacentral:lncRNA from 1 species